rnacentral:lncRNA from 1 species
GAAAACGGAGAGCAGAUUGGUGUAGGGGCAAACUUGCGGGUCAAACUGGACCCGAACAACCUCCACGUGAUUGGUGGUUCCGGAGCAAACGAGUCUGUAGUUGGGAUCAGGGACGUUGCCUUGUGAAUACCCCACUUCAGUCUUGGAUACGCCCACCACACGCUGAAACGCCAGCUCCACUCCCCAGAAGCACCCGGCUCCGAAUUGGGCGAACUCGUGACCCGGAUUGUCCGGUUGGUCCAGAUCCGG